rnacentral:snRNA from 1 species
AAAGAACAAUAUUUAUGUCAAUGACACCUAGUUGUUUAAUUAGUUAGCAACAACAUUCCAUUGAAAUUAACAUAAAUCAAAAAAAGAACCCGA